CUCAGCGACAUUUGUGCUGGAAACUAGAAUUAAUGCAUAACCCACUGGGUGUGAAUUUAUGAGAUUUUAUUCAACCUGGUUUUUGAAGCAUUUUUAAUGUGAUGAAUCAAGCCGGACAACAGUUUCUGCAGAGUGGUAACAACGACAUCCUUGCUACUAUGAGACGCCUGUCUCGUCGAUCCUGACAUCGACUGUCUGUUCGUGAGACCGGACUGUCUGGACUGGGGUGGCUGUGGCUCAGGAAGUAGAGAGGGUUUUCCACUAACCGGAAGGUCGAUCCCUGGCUCCACCAGUCUGCAUGUCAAAGUGUCCUAGGGCAAGAUA